UACGAGUGCGUCGAGCGUUAUCCGGAUUCACUGGGUUUAAAGGGUGCGUAGGAGGGCAGGUAAGUCAGUGGUGAAAUCUCCGAGCUUAACUUGGAAACUGCCGUUGAUACUAUCUGUCUUGAAUAUUGUGGAGGUGAGCGGAAUAUGUCAUGUAGCGGUGAAAUGCUUAGAUAUGACAUAGAACACCAAUUGCGAAGGCAGCUCGCUACACAAAUAUUGACUCUGAGGCACGAAAGCGUGGGGAUCAAACAGG
rnacentral:rRNA from 1 species